rnacentral:rRNA from 1 species
GACGAACGCUGGCGGCAUGCCUAAUACAUGCAAGUUGAGCGAUGAAGCUUGGUGCUUGCACCAAUUUGAAGAGCAGCGAACGGGUGAGUAACGCGUGGGGAAUCUGCCUUUGAGCGGGGGACAACAUUUGGAAACGAAUGCUAAUACCGCAUAAUAACUUUAAACAUAAGUUUUAAGUUUGAAAGAUGCAAUUGCAUCACUCAAAGAUGAUCCCGCGUUGUAUUAGCUAGUUGGUGAGGUAAAGGCUCACCAAGGCGAUGAUACAUAGCCGACCUGAGAGGGUGAUCGGCCACAUUGGGACUGAGACACGGCCCAAACUCCUACGGGAGGCAGCAGUAGGGAAUCUUCGGCAAUGGACGAAAGUCUGACCGAGCAACGCCGCGUGAGUGAAGAAGGUUUUCGGAUCGUAAAACUCUGUUGGUAGAGAAGAACGUUGGUGAGAGUGGAAAGCUCAUCAAGUGACGGUAACUACCCAGAAAGGGACGGCUAACUACGUG